rnacentral:rRNA from 1 species
UUGGGCACUCUAGCGAGACUGCCGGUAAUAAACCGGAGGAAGGUGGGGAUGACGUCAAAUCAUCAUGCCCUUAUGACCUGGGCUACACACGUGCUACAAUGGUUGGUACAACGAGUUGCGAGUCGGUGACGGCGAGCUAAUCUCUUAAAGCCAAUCUCAGUUCGGAUUGUAGGCUGCAACUCGCCUACAUGAAGUCGGAAUCGCUAGUAAUCGCGGAUCAGCACGCCGCGGUGAAUACGUUCCCGGGCCUU